AUUGAACGCUGGCGGCAGGCUUAACACAUGCAAGUCGAGCGAGCGGCGGACGGGUGAGUAAUGUCUGGGAAACUGCCUGAUGGAGGGGGAUAACUACUGGAAACGGUAGCUAAUACCGCAUACCAUCAGAUGUGCCCAGAUGGGAUUAGCUAGUAGGUGGGGUAAUGGCUCACCUAGGCGACGAUCCCUAGCUGGUCUGAGAGGAUGACCAGACAACCUGGAACUGAGACACGGUCAGGACGCCUACGGGAGGAAGCAGUGGGGAAUAGUGCACAAUGGGCGCAGGUAUGAUGAAGCACUGCCGCGGGUGGGAGGAAGUCCUUCGGGUUGUAAAGCACUUUCAGCGAGGAGGCGUUACUCGCAGAAGAAGCACCGGCUAACUCCGUGCAAGCAGCCGCGGUAAUUC
rnacentral:rRNA from 1 species